UGGGGAAUAUUGGACAAUGGGCGAAAGCCUGAUCCAGCAAUGCCGCGUGUGUGAAGAAGGCCUUCGGGUUGUAAAGCACUUUGAUCCGGGAAGAAAAAGCUCUGGCUAACAUCCAGAGCCUUGACGGUACCGGAGGAACAAGCACCGGCUAACUCUGUGCCAGCAGCCGCGGUAAUACAGAGGGUGCUAGCGUUAAUCGGAUUUACUGGGCGUAAAGCGUGCGUAGGCGGUUUGCUAAGUCGGUUGUGAAAGCCCUGGGCUUAACCUGGGAAUUGCAGUCGAUACUGGCAGGCUAGAGAACGGUAGAGGGAGGCGGAACUCCAGGUGUAGCGGUGAAAUGCGUAGAUAUCUGGAAGAACACCGAUGGCGAAGGCAACCUCCUGGGCCUGUUCUGACGCUGAGGCACGAAAGCGUGGGUAGCAAACAGGAUUAGAUACCCCCGUAGUCC
rnacentral:rRNA from 1 species